CAGCACUUUUUGAUCUAUAGAGAACAUGGUCACCCCAUCCAAACAUUGAAUUAUCUAAGCUACUGAGGACAUAGAGGUUAUGAAGGUGUUCAGUCUGGUUAUGAAGGUGUUGAGUCUGGUUAUAAAGGUGUUCAGUCUGGUUAUGAAGGAGCUGAGUCUGGUUAUAAAGGUGUUGAGUCUGGUUAUGAAGGCGCUGAGUCUGGUUAUGAAGGUGUUGAGUCUGGUUAUGAAGGUGUUGAGUCUGGUUAUAAAGGUGUUGAGUCUGGUUAUGAAGGUGUUGAGUCUGGUUAUGAAGGUGAUGAGUCUGGUUAUGAAGGUGUUGAGUCUGGUUAUGAAGGUGAUGAGUCUGGUUAUGAAGGUGAUGAGUCUGGUUAUGAAGGUGAUGAGUCUGGUGG
ensembl:lncRNA